rnacentral:tRNA from 1 species
GGGCCCUUAGCUCAGUUUGGUCAGAGCGAUGGACUCUUAAUCCAUGCGUCACAGGUUCGAAUCCUGUAGGGCCCA